rnacentral:rRNA from 1 species
CCUACGGGACGCAGCAGUGGGGAAUAUUGGACAAUGGGGGAAACCCUGAUCCAGCGACGCCGCGUGAGUGAAGAAGUAUUUCGGUACGUAAAGCUCUAUCAGCAGGAAAGGAAUGACGGUACCUGACUAAGAAGCCCCGGCUAACUACGUGCCAGCAGCCGCGGUAAUACGUAGGGGGCAAGCGUUAUCCGGAUUUACUGGGUGUAAAGGGAGCGUAGACGGUUACGCAAGUCUGGAGUGAAAGGCGGGGGCCCAACCCCCGGACUGCUUUGGAAACUGUAUAACUGGAGUGCAGGAGAGGUAAG